rnacentral:rRNA from 1 species
AUGGCAGCACCCACACGAGGUCACCCGGGGCUGGGAGGACUGGCAAGGAAAGCGACAAUGACGAUAACAGUGCGGCAAGGUGGAGGAGUGGUGGCAGCGGCAGCUAUGCUCGCUCGAGGGAGGCAGAGAAGCGGACAGAGUUGUGAUGGAGGGUUGGAGCCGGCUGGUUCUGGUGAGGAAGGGCACGGGAUGAUGCAUGCAGACAAAAGGGAGUGGCGCUUUGUGAGGUCAGCCAUGGAGGUUCCCCAGGCCGCGGCACGGGAGUUUGCCGGCGACGCUGUGCACAAGGGUGCAGCCGCCGCGCUGGUGGCCACGGGCACCACUCCAACGAGCAAAGAAGCAGCGCAGUUGCUGUGGUCUGCUCGAGCUCCGACCAUGCCUCCUCGGUUCUAUGUCGCCCAGCGGCCAAAUUCAGCUGCAUACGAGCCAUGCAGGCACCUCCCCUUCGCUUCCUUCAUCUCCAUUUGGUACGAAAGCGCUGGAUGCUGA